AAAGUCCUACGGUGUAAGGUACAAGCUAUACCGCACCAAGCGAGUCUUGGGUGGACAGCAGAGAUGCUGUCUGCUAAGCGUAGACAGCGAGAUUGCAGGGCAUAACUGCACAUAGCUUCGAUAUGAAAAUGAAAGUGGGAAGGCAGAGGUGCUCCUAUACACUGAAAGCAACAUAACUGUAGUCACUAAGAGCGAGAAUACAGUUGCUUCCCCGGAGUUUUGAGGU
rfam:Clostridium sp. ASF502 genomic scaffold acMal-supercont1.2, whole genome shotgun sequence.